rnacentral:rRNA from 1 species
UACGAAGGGGGCUAGCGUUGCUCGGAAUCACUGGGCGUAAAGGGUGCGUAGGCGGGUCUUUUAAGUCAGGGGUGAAAUCCUGGGAGCUCAACUCCAGAACUGCCUUUGAUACUGAAGAUCUUGAGUUCGGGAGAGGUGAGUGGAACUGCGAGUGUAGAGGUGAAAUUCGUAGAUAUUCGCAAGAACACCAGUGGCGAAGGCGACUCACUGGCCGAUACUGACGCUGAGGCACGAAAGCGUGGG